GGUCUGCUCAGAAGAGGGCUCCAUGCCUGCCCCCUGCCCUUCAUAAAGCUCUGGGAGAGAGGGCUGUUUGCUGAACCCAGACUCGCCAGGCCCAGCCGGACACUCACCACUUCGUCGUCCUCCACCAGCACCAUGUCGUAGGCGCUCAGCGCGGCGAUGAAGAUGAUGCAGGUCACCCCCUCGAAGCAGUGGAUCCACUUUUUGCGCUCUGAGCGUUGCCCGCCCACAUCGAACAUCCUGCGGGCAUGAGGACCGGAAACCCGUGCAUCAAGUCCCCCUGAGACGCCCACAGGCAUUCCCUGGAUUCCUAAUGCUGGCUGGGAGGCACCCAGGUGGGCCUGGCAUCCAGAGGGGCCGGACUUCUCUGCCGGCAGGGUGUUGGAGAAGGGGCAGGGUCUCUAGAAGGGCUGGGACCUCUGCGACCAGACAGGCCUCAGGCAGUGAACUUGGGGGCAGGCCUCCCCACGCCAGAGGAGGAGUCAGGGCGCAGUGCCCUACCGAAAGUUGAGGUCCUUGAAGGAGAACUGCGUCUCAAUAAUACCCGUGGUCUUGACACGGGAGCGCAGCACAUCCUGUUCCGUGGGCACGUAGCCCGGGGUUACCAGGCGCUCCAGGUCUGAGAGGUAGCUGUGGGAGACAUGGGGUGUGGGUAGGGUUGGGUAGAUGCGUGUGCCAGGGCCCCGCCUGCCCCCCACCCCUGCGCUUGGCCUGUGCUCUCACUAGCCAGCGGAGUCAUUGAGCUGGUACUCUGAGGCUCGCUCGAAACAGGCCUGGAUACCGGAGUCCUUCCAUAGCCGCUGGAUGAUGUCUGACAUCUCCUUGGGCAUCGUACCCUCCUCGAUGGUGUCCGCCAUGUGCAUCAGCUUCCGGGCAUCAUCCUGAGGGCAGGGGAGUGGUUGGUGGUGACCAGGGGCUGGGGCCCUGCCUCACACCUCGAAUCCCCAGAGCCCCUGUUCAGCUAGUCUCUUGGCACACCUGGCGUGCAGAGUCUCCGUACUGGAUGUUGAGUGUGGUCAUGGCACGCACGAUGGCCAGGAUGGACUGUAGUGUGUUGCCAUAGAUGAUGGCAAUGAACUCGAGACACUCUUCCAAUGAGUACCCGUCCUGAUGGAUAAUCCUGCAGCCAUGGGAGCCGGGUCAGCGCCUCUUGAGUGGGUCAGGGGACAGACCUCCAGUGCACGCCCAACCCCAGGGCCUCAGAUUCACCAGCACCUGGAAUGGAAACCUGGCCUCAGUGAUGCACAGACCGCACCAUCCCCUCUAUCCCACCUGUUUCCUUACCACACUCCCAAAAUAAGGUCCUGAUGCCCCAGAAGCAAAACCUAAAUGUCAGGAGUGACCGAAGAGGGCUGACGAGGCAAAUGGACAACCUCAACUCUGUCCUGGAGCCUCCAAUACCUUGGUAUGCUGUCUUUUAUCUUUCGGAGGCCAAAAAUAAAGAAAC